UUGGAGUUCAACUGUAUUACUUUAAUAACUUGCAAAUACGAAGGAGCUACAAGUUCCAUAGGUAGGUACUUAUGGAAGCAUAUGGUGUAUAAUAAUAUUAUGUGAUGAUGUUUACUUGUCUACUUGGUUGAGUUUGCCAAGACCAUUGCAAUUUGCACAAACAAUCUGAACUUCAUCUUUUCUAGCUGCAUUCGCUUUCAAAGCUGCCGCCCCUCCUUUCCUCACAAAUCCUGCCCCAUCACAUUCUGGACACAGGUCUUUGCGAGAAAAGAGUAUAGGGAAAGCAGUUCCGACUAAUGCUACAGCAGCAGCACCAGCAAUUAAGUAAACUGUUCCAUCGGAUGAAACAUCUCCAAUGGCGGCCACCACUUUCAACGAUCUCUGUUUUUUGUUUUUAUGAGUUACAGGGGAUUUUGUACCAACAAUAGUUGAUGGAAUUACAAGGGAUUUCUUCACUGAAAAUUGCACACAAGCUAUAGAGGAGGAG
rnacentral:misc_RNA from 1 species